rnacentral:rRNA from 1 species
UACAGAGGGUGCAAGCGUUAAUCGGAAUGACUGGGCGUAAAGGGCGCGUAGGCGGUUAGAUAAGUUAGAUGUGAAAUCCCUGGGCUUAACCUAGGAACUGCAUUUGAUACUAUUUGACUAGAGUAGGGUAGAGGGAAGUGGAAUUUCCGGUGUAGCGGUGAAAUGCGUAGAUAUCGGAAGGAACACCAGUGGCGAAGGCGGCUUCCUGGACCUAUACUGACGCUGAGGCGCGAAAGCGUGGGGAGCAAACAGG